AGUGAACGCUGGCGGUAGGCCUAACACAUGCAAGUCGAACGGCAGCACAGUAAGAGCUUGCUCUUACGGGUGGCGAGUGGCGGACGGGUGAGGAAUACAUCGGAAUCUACUUUUUCGUGGGGGAUAACGUAGGGAAACUUACGCUAAUACCGCAUACGACCUACGGGUGAAAGCAGGGGAUCUUCGGACCUUGCGCGAUUGAAUGAGCCGAUGUCGGAUUAGCUAGUUGGCGGGGUAAAGGCCCACCAAGGCGACGAUCCGUAGCUGGUCUGAGAGGAUGAUCAGCCACACUGGAGCUGAGACACGGUCCAGACUCCUGCGGGAGGCAGCAGUGGGGAAUAUUAGACAAUGGGCGCAAGCCUGAUCCAGCCAUACCGCGUGGGUGAAGAAGGCCUUCGGGUUGUAAAGCCCUUUUGUUGGGAAAGAAAAGCAGCAGGUUAAUACCCCGCUGUUCUGACGGUACCCAAAGAAUAAGCACCGGCUAACUUCGUG
rnacentral:rRNA from 1 species